AACGAACGCUGGCGGCGUGGCUAAGACAUGCAAGUCGGACGGACCAUUUGAUUGAGUAAUCGAGAUUAUGGUUAGUGGCGUAAGGGUGAGGAAUGAAUAGGUAACGUACCCCGAAGUCCGGGAUAGCGUCUGAAUGCUUCGGCAUUCUUCCGAAAGGGGCAGUAAUACCGGAUGAUAUCAUCGGAUAUUAAGUCUGAUGAUCAAAGAUUUAUCGCUUUGGGAGCGGCCUAUUUCCUAUCAGCUUGUUGGUGAGGUAACGGCUCACCAAGGCUUCGACGGGUAGCGGGACUGAGAGGUUGGCCCGCCACAUUGGGACUGAGACACUGCCCAGACCCCCACGGGGGGCUGCAGUAACGAAUAUUGUGCAAUGAGCGAAAGCUUGACACAGCGACGCCGCGUGUAGGAUGAAGCCUUUCGGGGUGUAAACUACUGUCAGGGAUUAGAAAGUGCGCUUCGGCGCAUUGAUCAGUCCCAGAGGAAGUCACGGCUAACUUCGUGCCAGCAGCCGCGGUAACACGGAGGGUGCGAGCGUUGUCCGGAUUCACUGGGCGUAAAGCGCGCGUAGGCGGUUCUGUAAGUCACCUGUGAAAUCCCGGGGCUCAACUCCGGGGCUGCAGGUGAUACUGCAGAGCUAGAGCUCGGUAGAGGCAAGUGGAAUUCCCGGUGUAGCGGUGGAAUGCGUAGAUAUUAAGAGGAACGCCGAUGGUGAAGACAGUGUACUGGGCUUGUCCUGACGCUGAGGUGCGAAAGCGUGGGGAGCGAACGGGAUUAGAUACCCCGGUAGUCCACGCCGUAAACGAUGUCUACUAGGUUGUGGAGGUUCUGACACCCUCACAGUCGAAGCAAAAGUGUUAAGUAGACCGCCUGGGGAGUACGGUCGCAAGGCUAAAACUCAAAGGAAUUGACGGGGGCUCACACAAGCGGUGGAGCAUGUGGAUUAAUUCGAAGCAACGCGCAGAACCUUACCUGGGUUUGACAUGUUUGGAUGCUAAUCUGGAAACAGAGGAUGCUGCCUUCGGGUGAAACUUACACAGGUGCUGCAUGGCUGUCGUCAGCUCGUGUCGUGAGAUGUCGGGUUAAGUCCUUUAACGAGCGAAACCCUUGCCGUUAGUUGCCAGCGAGUAAUGUCGGGGACUCUAGCGGGACUGCCGGUGUUAAACCGGAGGAAGGUGGGGAUGACGUCAAGUCCUCAUGGCCUUUAUGCCCAGGGCUUCACACGUGCUACAAUGGUCACUACAGAGCGAAGCGAGAUCGUGAGAUGGAGCAAAUCGCAAAAAAGUGGCCUCAGUUCGGAUUGCAGGCUGUCAACUCGCCUGCAUGAAGUUGGAAUCGCUAGUAAUCGCGUAUCAGCUAUGACGCGGUGAAUGUGUUCCUGAGCCUUGUACACACCGCCCGUCAAGUCACGGAAAUUGGGAGUACCCGAAGUCGGGUUGCCAACCUUUUAUUAGGGGGCGCCUGCCUACGGUAAGCUCGGUAACUGGG
rnacentral:rRNA from 1 species